ACGCUGGCGGCAGGCUUAACACAUGCAAGUCGAACGGUAACAGGGAUUAGCUUGCUAAUUUGCUGACGAGUGGCGGACGGGUGAGUAAUGCUUGGGAAUCUGGCUUAUGGAGGGGGACAACUACGGGAAACUGUAGCUAAUACCGCGUAAUAUCGGAAGAUUAAAGGGUGGGACUUUCGAGCCACCUGCCAUAAGAUGAGCCCAAGUGGGAUUAGGUAGUUGGUUAGGUAAAGGCUGACCAAGCCGACGAUCUCUAGCUGGUCUGAGAGGAUGACCAGCCACACUGGAACUGAGACACGGUCCAGACUCCUACGGGAGGCAGCAGUGGGGAAUAUUGCACAAUGGGGGGAACCCUGAUGCAGCCAUGCCGCGUGAAUGAAGAAGGCCUUCGGGUUGUAAAGUUCUUUCGGUGACGAAGAAGGUUGAUAGGUUAAUAGCCUAUCAAAUUGACGUUAAUCACAGAAGAAGCACCGGCUAACUCCGUGCCAGCAGCCGCGGUAAUACGGGGGGUGCGAGCGUUAAUCGGAAUAACUGGGCGUAAAGGGCACGCAGGCGGUGACUUAAGUGAGAUGUGAAAGCCCCGAGCUUAACUUGGGAAUUGCAUUUCAUACUGGGUCGCUAGAGUACCUUAGGGAGGGGUAGAAUUCCACGUGUAGCGGUGAAAUGCGUAGAGAUGUGGAGGAAUACCGAAGGCGAAGGCAGCCCCUUGGGAAUGUACUGACGCUCAUGUGCGAAAGCGUGGGGAGCAAACAGGAUUAGAUACCCUGGUAGUCCACGCUGUAAACGAUGUCGAUUUGGGGAUUGGGCUUUGAGCUUGGUGCCCGUAGCUAACGUGAUAAAUCGACCGCCUGGGGAGUACGGCCGCAAGGUUAAAACUCAAAUGAAUUGACGGGGGCCCGCACAAGCGGUGGAGC
rnacentral:rRNA from 1 species